GGCAACAUAAAAGGAGCCGAUCUCAUUACUGGGGCCCGGACACAUUAUUUUCUCCAAGGAAUUUCUUCUUUUCAUUAUUUCUCUCCAAAGUCCUUAGGUUGGUUGGAUUCUGCUGGUCUGAAGGCAUGGAGAUCGCCUGGGAAGAGAAAACCUGGGGCAGCCCGCGUCUACAUGGCAGCUGGUCAGGGCAGGACAGUGCACAGACCCUCAACAAGUGAAGCCAGUCAAAACACUUCCCCUGACAAAACCAGUGGAAUAGUGUGUUUGUAAAACCGAUGGCGUUUUUGUUGACAGGCAAAUGUCUACAUCGCAUGGCAACAAACGGCUGGAAGAUGCAAAAAUGCAGUCAAUCAUCAGGGAUUUCUUUUCCCGCCUCUCUUUAAAAAAGAAAAGCUCUCCCACCACCAUACAGGAUGAGUGAUGUCUGCAUGGUGUUUGAAGAUCUUCCUCCCUGAUCAAGCAAGUUCCUGAGGCUCAGUCUGGAGACCCAGGGGCAGCCCAAGUCUGACUGAACCAAACAGGGCAGGGUUGUCAGGAUCUUCUCAGGAAGUGGGGAUUGGCUCUGAAUUUCCCACUGACUUUGAGAAAUGCAGCAUUCUUCAAACUCUGAUGUGCUUAGAACC
rnacentral:lncRNA from 1 species